rnacentral:siRNA from 1 species
UGAAAGGCGGAUGUGCUCUUGC